UUCCCAUCCCUGCUUUGCUAUUUUUGUACCUCCGUGACAGAAAAAACCCUGAGGAAAAGUCAGGCGACUUCAUUCCCUGCCGUGCGCGCCGGGGCCUCGACUACUGGCGUCCGCGGCUUUCGCCCGCCGCUCCACAGGUGGAUAAAACCUCGUAUGCAUCAACUACCUCUCUUUCAAGAUGGAAUUUUCAGAACACAUGGUCUGGGAUUGGAGCUGGAGCUUGGAAAUAUUGAGUGGGUGAGAAAGACUUCAUUGUUUUGUGACAGAUUGUUGGGAAAACAGCCCACUUCUGCCUGAAGAUCCAAGCCCAAGGCCUUCCUGGCCCCAGGGAUUUUGGGAUUCUUAAGAGCAAAAGAAGGAAAGAAAACAUGAGAGACUUUGGUACUGGGUACCAGCAUGAAAAGAGAAGGACUGGUAAAAAACAUCUCUUGGGAGCUUCUGCUGUGAUGCGAGAGGUAAGUCCUGCCAUCCCAGGGCACACUUCAUAAAAGAGGGCAGAUCCAAAGAUUGCAGAAGCCAGAAGAGACACUGCAUCCUUCCUGGUUAGGCCUGGUUAUGCCAGCUUCCUGGACUCUGCUGGCUGGUUGCCUCAAUCCAUGCCUCAGAUUGGGUGGAGUCUACAGAUUGAGGGCAAAUCCCACCUCCUCCCAACCCCCACCACUAGGCCUAUCUGCAAGACAGAAAAGAGCAGCAAGAAAUCUCAGGGAUUUUCUUUGAUUACUCAGAGGGAAAUAGUUUCCAUACUCAGAGACUGAUAGGCUGUCAAUAACAUUUGCUUUGUGAAUUUUCACCCAGCUACUUCUGGAUGAGAUAAUCACCUUUGCAGCUAAAGAAAAUCUUAGCUCAUUUUCUUCUUGGGGUGAUGGUAUAAGAGUUGAUAAACAAUUUAUAAGUAUUUAUCAUAUGGCAUAUUUAACAAAAUAUCUUUGUGAUCCAUAAAGCAAGGCAUAAAUUACAUUUGAAAGUGCAUUCCAUUAAACAAGAACAUUAGAGGGAAAGAGAGAGAGACACUUUGGACCUUGAUCUGUUCCAAUGACAUAGAAACUUGCUUUACAGAUUGGCUUUCUCCUAGUGCACUAUUGCAAAAUUAGAGCUAUACUAGAAACACCCUUAGAGUUUGAUAAUUGAAUUACAGUGGGGAAAAAUAAGGUUUCUAUUUCUUAACUAUACCUUUGAAUUUCUUACUACUACAGAGGAUAAUUUUCCUGGUCCCUGGGGAUAGUGGUGAAAAACUCAUUGUUUUAUUAAAUUCAUGCCUCAUUCUUGUGACCCUAGAUUUUCGAAUUUAAAUAGGAAUGCAGUCAAGGGGUGAAUUCUGACAUCUUCAUUCUUUACUUAGCUCUUAAAAGCCAAGAUAAUUUAUACUACUUGUUUAUACUAAUCUUUGAUCACAAUAUAUUUACAUUGCUGGCAAGUAAAGUCUCUUAAUAAGAUAGCAGCAAAUAUUAGCUCUUCAUCCAAAAUUGUUAUUAUUCGGGAGUACUAUACAUGGUCUCUUACGUUAGGAUUUAUGAAAGUAGGAAUUAAUUAAGUUUAUUUAAUUCAAACAAAUGUUUUUCUCAAAGUAAUGAGUGUUGUGAAGGGAGCUUAUUUGACCACAUACAACCCUGAGAUUCUUAUCUUUUUGGCAAAUAGCACUAACUGCGGAAAAGCUUAAGAUCAGUGGGGUUGUCUAUUUCCCCACACGUUGAGUUGAUGAUAGGUUAUAAUAAAAAUAUCAGACCAAAUUCUACCACUUAUAUAGGCAUGUAUUAACCCAGCUCUCUGUCCUCUUUAGUGCUCUAAUGACUUCAAGCUGGCUCAACAAUAUUCCAGAGGCAAGAUUUUAUUACUUUUAUAGUUAGCAUCAGAAAUCCAAUGGAUGGACACUGGAUUCUUUGAGGAUCAAGCUUGAGGUGCCAAGCAUGGGAUGCAUUUCUGAAAUAUUUGAGUUUAAUCGUAUAUCUUGAAUACCACUUAUUAUUCCAGUGAGAUCUGAUUGAUGAUUAACUUAUUGAACAAGUCACUAAUUUUACCAAUGAAAAUAUAUUUCUGAUAUUUACUUUGCUAAUUAGCAAGACAUCUGGGUUUGAUAUACACAUUUGGUGAGAGAUGAAGGGCAGAAAUUGAGGCACAGAAACAAUAAGUGGUUUCCCUUAAGAUCAGAUAGCUAGUAAGUGUCUCAGCUUGUUUGUGCAUCCCACAGUGAGGAGCCUGUGUUUUUUUAAAUCUCUCUGGAUUAGUUGUGCUGGUAAGUUCUCUAGAAGCAACUUGACUCCACUGUUUUGAGGGCAGAAAUAAAAAGAACAGGCUAUAAUUGAGGUUGUAGAAGAGAUCAAAGAAAAUCUGUGAUGCAAGAAACUGCUCAGAGUCCUGUCUGUGAAAUGCAGAAGGCUGUCCAUAACUAAAGGCAUCUAUCUUUAGAAAGGCAGUAUCAGAUUGUCACUUGUCUUGAUGGUCAUGAGAUAGGGAUGUUCUGGUUAACAACAUAUCCUAGUUAAUAGAGAUUCUCAGGAGACUCUAUACUCUAAUUUCUCAUUUAAAAGAAAUUGGACUCUUACAAAAUAAACAUGACAUGAACCCAGAAUUUAACUUACUAUUUUCUUACUGUUAUCUCAAAGACAUUACAUGAUAUUGAACACUUUGAGGUCAUUAUGGUACUGGGGGAGCAUAAUUGUUCCUAUUAAUAGAAACAAAAUACUAAGGAUUUUUCUAGAAACUCUCCUUUCAAGAGCCAUUUACCUGGCUAAGGAUUUUUCUAGAAACUCUCCUUUCAAGAGCCAUUUACCUGGAAUAAAAGUGAUGUGUAUGAUAAACAGUUGGCUAUACAGACCCAAGAUGAAAUUCAAAAUAUAACUUCUGAAAAUUCUGAAUUCAAAAUCAAGUUUUUGAUACUUUGGGAUCAGCUAGAUGAUCAUCAUCAAUUUGUCUCCUUUACACUUCAAUUUGCUUUUCAUCUUCACCAAUCUACACUAUAUUCAAGCCAAACUUACCAUUUCUCUUACUCCAUUUUCCCUGCAACUUCCCUAAGCUGUUAGUGUUAUUGUACUACUCUUCUCUAUGCCACUUAGGCUUGAAUUCUUGGCCUAGUUUCUCUCACUUCUGCAUGAAAUCACCAAAUGCCAGUGAUUCUGCUUCUAACAUAUUUCAGACAUCAUUUCUGUCCAUUCCCACUACCAGAAAGAAACUCUGUAUUAGUUUUUCUUUUACCUUUAUUGACCUUUUAUAAUAGCAUUUAUAGUGUGUUGAAUUGUGGCCCCCCAAAAAUAUGUCCAAGUCUUAACCCUGGUGCCUAUAAAUGUGACCUUAUUUGGGAAAAGAGUCUCAUAGAUGAAAUUAAGUUAAAGAUCUUACCCUGGAUUAACCAGGUAGAUGCUAAAUUGAAUAAAAAUUGUCUGUACAGGAAGAGAAGAGGAGAAACACAGAGAAGAAAGCCAUGUGAAGAUGGUAACAGACACUGGAGUCUGUAGCCCCAAGUGUAAUGUGACGGGUUCUCCACCAGGUUACUUAAGGGUGCAUGUCCAAUGCUUGAACCCUGAAGACUGGGUGGUGAGCCAAGGUCAUGGUGCUCAGCCAAGGAACACCAUGUGUUGUGUUUCCUGAGAACACAAACAUUUGGGAGAGUAUCUGGGGACAUACCAAGAAAAACACUCAUCACACACAGAGAAGAAAAGCCAGAAAAUUAGCUUAAAAGCAGCUUGAAGAUGGGUGGGGUAAGGGUGGCAUGUGGGGCAAAUCUCCAGAGUUGUCCUGCUACUAUCUAGGAAUGCCCUAUAUGUUAAGUCCUAAUAAACUCA
rnacentral:lncRNA from 1 species